GGCUGGCCCGAAGAUAGUGAGUUAUCUCAAUUGAUUGUUCAGAGUCAAUAUAGAUUGAAUUCCUUGUUCUACUCUUUCCCCCUUUCUCACUACUGCACUUGACGAGUCUUGA
ensembl:misc_RNA Y_RNA Y RNA